UAAGAAAUUGCUUAGUUUUGAUGGUGUUCAUUUAGGAAUUCUUGAAAGAUUUAUAUUUGGCUCAUUGGCUGGUGUAACUGCCCAGACCUGUAUUUACCCCAUGGAGGUACUAAAGACCAGACUGGCUAUAGGUAAAACUGGAGAGUAUUCAGGGAUUAUUGAUUGUGGCAAGAAGCUUCUAAAACAAGAAGGUGUCAGAUCCUUUUUCAAAGGUUAUACUCCUAACUUGCUAGGCAUUGUACCUUAUGCCGGCAUAGAUCUUGCUGUUUAUGAGGUGAGUUUAUUCUCAUAAUAUGACAAUUAUAUGUUAGAUUUGCAAAUAUGGAACAACAAUUUUUAUUGUAGAAAUAUGGUUAUAAAUGACUUUUCAUUAAAACAGCUUCUGACAAAGAGUGAAUUGAAUGGUUUUAUUUGAUUUUUCAUUUUAUAUGUUACAUAUCUGGUAUUCUAGUAAUAAUUUUUUAUUUGGUUUUUUUUGUGAAUCAGUUUUUGGUAAUAAUAAUGUUAAGUUCUGAUAAAACAGUGGUUCUCAAUCCUGGAUGCAUAUCAGAAUCACAUACAUAUGGAUCUUUAAAAAAUAGGAUUCUUGGGCCACAUCCUGAGAUAUUCUCAUUUAAUUAUCCCGAGGAGGUGGAGUGCGGUGGCUCAGGCCUAUAAUUCCAGCACUUCAGGAGGCUGAGGGGGUUGGAUCCCUUGAGCCCAGGAGUUUGAGACCAGCCUUGGUAACAUAGUGAAAUCCCAUCUUGACCAAAAAUACAAAAAUUGGCCAGUCUCAUAACUUGGUCUCAAAAUAAAUAAAUAGAUUUAAAAUUUUUUAAAAAUUAUCCUGAGGAGAGGCCUAGGAUUCAGGUUUUUUAACUGCCCAGAAAAAUCUGUUGUAUAAGUAAGACUGUGAAAGCUGAGAUAUUAUCACACAGCUGUAAAAAUGAGAAUGGAGGAUAGGAGUAAUUGUGGCUUGAGGAAGAAAGGCAGGAUGGAGAUAGGACAAAAAAGCUGAUAGUGUAAUGCAGAGGCAGGAUGCCAGCUUACUCCCCUUUCAACUGAUCAUUUCAUUUCUAUGGCCAUACAUCUGUUUCAGGAAGAGCAUCUUAGCAAUAUAUAUACCAUUUUGUCAUAAGAACCAGGUGAAGGUGUGUGAUUAGAAUAAAUUCAUUCUCAGUGGAGGAAGGACAGUUCUCUAGAUACAAGCCCAGUGGAAUUUUUGGCAAGUGGUGUCAUCAUCAAGUGAAAGACAGAUAACUUCCUUUAGCACUUUUACAAGUACACUUAUAUUUUCGUAGAUGUUUAAAGUAUUGAAUAUUAUAGCAGGCAUUUAUUUUUCUUUUUGUUUUCUUGCAUCU
rnacentral:lncRNA from 1 species